rnacentral:tRNA from 1 species
GGGGGCUUAGCUCAGUUGGGAGAGCAACGGCUUUGCAAGCCGUAGGUCGUCGGUUCGAACCCGUCAGCCUCCACCA